AACGAACGCUGGCGGCGCGCCUAAUACAUGCAAGUCGAGCGAGAAGACGUAGCAAUACGUUUGUAAAGCGGCGAACGGGUGAGGAAUACAUGGGUAACCUACCCUCGAGUGGGGAAUAACUAGCCGAAAGGUUAGCUAAUACCGCGUACGCUCCUUGGACUUCGGUUCAGGAGGAAAGACGAUACCGUGGGUAGUCGCGCUCUUGGAGUGGGCGUCAUGUCCUAUCAGCUUGUUGGUGAGGAACGGCUCACCAAGGCUUCGACGGUAGCUGGCCUGAGAGGACGAUCAGCCACACUGGCACUGCGACACGGGCCAGACUCCUACGGGAGGCAGCAGUAAGGAAUAUUGCGCAAUGGGCGAAAGCCUGACGCAGCGACGCCGCGUGAGGGAUGACGGCCU
rnacentral:rRNA from 1 species